AGAUCAUAAUGCCUGGAAUGGUUUAUGGUUAAAAUGAUUCGUCGCCAUAGGAUGGGACUGCGGCCUAUCAGCUUGUUGGUGAGGUAAUGGCCCACCAAGGCGAUUACAGGUACGGGCUCUGAGAGGAGAAGCCCGGAGAUGGGUACUGAGACACGGACCCAGGCCCUAUGGGGCGCAGCAGGCGAGAAAACUUUGCAAUGUGCGAAAGCACGACAAGGUUAAUCCGAGUGAUUUCUGCUAAAGAAAUCUUUUGUUAGUCCUAGAAACACUAACGAAUAAGGGGUGGGCAAGUUCUGGUGUCAGCCGCCGCGGUAAAACCAGCACCUCAAGUGGUCAGGAUGAUUAUUGGGCCUAAAGCAUCCGUAGCCGGCUCUGUAAGUUUUCGGUUAAAUCUGUACGCUCAACGUACAGGCUGCCGGGAAUACUGCAUAGCUAGGGAGUGGGAGAAGUAGACGGUACUCAGUAGGAAGGGGUAAAAUCCUUUGAUCUAUUGAUGACCACCUGUGGCGAAGGCGGUCUACCAGAACACGUUCGACGGUGAGGGAUGAAAGCUGGGGGAGCAAACCGGAUUAGAUACCCGGGUAGUCCCAGCUGUAAACGAUGCAGACUCGAUGAUGCAUUGGCAUAUAGCCAGUGCAGUGUCGCAGGGAAGCCGUUAAGUCUGCCGCCUGGGAAGUACGUACGCAAGUAUGAAACUUAAAGGAAUUGGCGGGGGAGCACCACAAGGGGUGAAGCCUGCGGUUCAAUUGGAGUCAACGCCGGAA
rnacentral:rRNA from 1 species